UACGUAGGGUGCGAGCGUUAAUCGGAAUUACUGGGCGUAAAGCGUGCGCAGGCGGUUAUGCAAGACAGAUGUGAAAUCCCCGGGCUCAACCUGGGAACUGCAUUUGAUACUGCGGUGCUCGAGUACUGGAGAGGAGAUUGGAAUUUACGGUGUAGCAGUGAAAUGCGUAGAUAUCGUAAGGAAGACCAGUGGCGAAGGCGAAUCUCUGGACAGUUACUGACACUGAGGCACGAAGGCCAGGGGAGCAAACGGG
rnacentral:rRNA from 1 species